rnacentral:pre_miRNA from 1 species
CAAGUACUCCCUCCGUCCCAAAAUACUUGUUGGAGAAAUAGAUGUAUCUAGAUGCAUUUUAGUUCUAGAUAUAUCCAUUUUUAUGCAUUUCUCCGACGAGUAUUUCCGGACGAAGGGAGUAUUUA